GUGGCAACCUGAGACUGUUCCCAGGCUCAAUUCACAGGAGCCCAUGUUCAGCGGUUAUUUAAUAGCUUUGAAAUGCCAUUCACCUGUGGCCCAUUUCAAGUUUCCCAUGAUUCUUAGGAAGACCCUGGCCUCCAUCUUGAAAACGGAAAAUAAAAACAGCAGACCUAUGAAGGUCGAAGGGGAAGAAAAGCUGUAUCGAUUGUUGAGAUCUGGCGACUUGUUUAAAUUUCAUCAGCCUCACUUCUAUGAACUCUCAGGACAAACUGCAACAGAGUCACAUCGAGUUGAGACUUCUCCAAGGGCCAUGGGGUUGACAUCUGUAUUCUCAGGCCUCACGUGUACCAGCUCUCUGCUCUCCUUUGCCUUGGGACGUUCCAUCCCUGGAAGUUUCCCUGCCCACAUCUUUGUAGAGAGUCCAUUCUCCAAGCUUCAGUGUGUCAUCUGUGAGGACCGUGACCCACCUGGUACAUCGCCUCAGGGCAUUCAUUUCAGGCUCCUUCUAAAUGGCCAAGAGACAACACCAACAUUUUUGUAAUGGCCUGCAAGGCCUUCCGAGAUCUACCUCCUGCAACUCAGCUUCUCCUGUGCUCUCCUUCUGGACUCACUCUGCCUCAGCAACACUGGUCCCUGUUGCCCCACCAAUAUGCCAGGCCAUGAGAGAAGCAGUACCUUAUAAUGGUUCCUUGUUCAAAGCACUCAAUAUUCCUAGGAUGUGGUCUCCCAGCUGACUUCAUAACUGAAUCAUCAGUAAUUAAUUUCAUUGUUCUAUUAGGACUUUACUGAAGACUCUAAGGAGGACCUGUAUCUGUUGGGAUCCUCAGGGCAAGCCACAGAAACAAGCUUUGGAUACUAGAAGCAGAAAAUGGAGAUAUUGAAGACUAUUGUGGAGUUUACUGUGAGCCAGAGAACCAGGCUGGGGGGCUGUAUCACUUAGAAUGAGAUCCAAACUCACACCAUAGUUCCAUCCUUGAGGUUGCCAUGUUGCUGCCACCCCUCCUGCCACCCCACCACUGAAGCUUUGGAUGCUGGAUUCUGGGCACAGCAGGGAGAAGUGUUGCUUAUUACCAUUUUAGCACCCUUGGAAAUGCAAUGCUACAUCUCAAUGGGAUUUUCCAGUACAAAGAUUCUUUUCAAAUAACAUAAUUGUGGAUACACACCACUCCUACAGUG
rnacentral:lncRNA from 1 species